rnacentral:lncRNA from 1 species
AAAAACAUUCCCUCACCUAUACAGGGAUCAGGGGGGGCAUUUUUCUUAUAAGCAAAAUUUUCUCCAAAAAAGUUCUUUUGUCUCCUCGGAAAACAUAAGACUUGAAAAAAUUAGUUUUGAAAAUCUCAUAAAUCUCUAUUUCUUUAUAAGUUCAAAACAUGGUUUGAAAGAAGAAGUUUCCUUAAUUCUUUAGCCGGAUUCUGGGUUCCUUCUAGCUUUGAUUCUAGUUUUGAAGCAUGAUUCUGGGUUCUUGAAAGCUGAUUUGGUUUUUGAUUUGGCUGUGUGUUAGGCUGCCUGCUAAAGCUCACUAUUUUUAAAUAAUCAGCUGAUCUAUUGGCCUUUAUUUGAUCUUGUUUGGAUCAUCUCUAGGUAUGUAAGCAUUUAUUUUGCUAUGAGAAUGACUUUACUUGAGCAAUAUGAAUUUAUUCAUAACUAUAUGUGUAUGGAUGCAUGUGUUAACAUUAGUAACUAAUGUGUUUUAAUUAUUAGCUUUCAUCAGCCUUUCAUGUGUUUUUAUAUGCAUUUCAGCAUAUAGAAAAGUGUUGUGAAAAUAGCAUAAGUAGUUGUAUUUUUAUGUCAGUGUUUAGGUUUGGUUUAUGAUGCUUUCUUUCUCCCUUCAUCUGAUUCCUUUUAUUUCUAGGUACUGCUUUCAUUUGUCUUCUGACUAUUUGGUCAUAAGCUAUAGCCUAUUGGUUCAACCACCAGUGGGUUAUGAAAGUUUUUUAAGGUGGAAAUGUUAAGAAAAAGAGAUGCUAGAAUUUUGAGUUAGAACCUAUAAUAAUUUGUGUGUUUAACUUUCAAUAUAGUUAAACUCAUGAAUAAUCAUUUUUUUUCUUUUCAUUGUUGCACUUCUCAAGUUAAGCUUAGCUCUGUCAAGGUAGUAUGACUGAAGUAACUUUGUGAAUUUGACUUUUUCCAUAGUCGAAUUCCUGAGUUACUUAAGAAACAAGGCUGAUUUAGCCAUCAGAAGCCUCAUGCUGGGAGACUAGGCAAACAGUCCUGUAAGGAGUAGCUCUGUAGCUGAGUUCCUGUAGACUUUGUACAUUGGAUUCAAGAAGCAAUGAAAAGGGAAAACCAGAUAUUAGUGGAAGCUUUCACUCUACUAUAUUUAGUUCCUUAAAAAGUCCUUAGAUGUCAGCUGUUGAUGUGCUGAUCUUCUAGGAAUUUAAACUUCAUU